GAUGAACGCUGGCGGCGUGCUUAACACAUGCAAGUCGAGCGAGAAGUUUUGAAAAGAUUCUUCGGAUGAAAUUUAAAAUGGAAAGCGGCGGACGGGUGAGUAACGCGUAGGCAACCUGCCCCAUACAAAGGGAUAGCAUUUGGAAACGAAUAUUAAUACCUUAUGAAACUUAACUAGUGCAUGCUAGGUAGGUCAAAGAUUUAUCGGUAUGGGAUGGGCCUGCGUCUGAUUAGCUAGUUGGUGAGGUAACGGCUCACCAAGGCGACGAUCAGUAGCCGACCUGAGAGGGUGAACGGCCACAUUGGAACUGAGACACGGUCCAAACUCCUACGGGAGGCAGCAGUGGGGAAUAUUGCACAAUGGGGGAAACCCUGAUGCAGCAACGCCGCGUGAACGAUGAAGGCCUUUGGGUCGUAAAGUUCUGUUCUAGGUGAUGAAAACUGACAG
rnacentral:rRNA from 1 species